rnacentral:rRNA from 1 species
GUAGGUGGCAAGCGUUGUCCGGAAUUAUUGGGCGUAAAGCGCGCGCAGGCGGUUCUUUAAGUCUGAUGUGAAAGCCCACGGCUCAACCGUGGAGGGUCAUUGGAAACUGGAGAACUUGAGUACAGAAGAGGAAAGCGGAAUUCCACGUGUAGCGGUGAAAUGCGUAGAGAUGUGGAGGAACACCAGUGGCGAAGGCGGCUUUCUGGUCUGUAACUGACGCUGAGGCGCGAAAGCGUUGGGAGCAAACAGGAUUAGAUACCCUGGUAGUCCACGCCGUAAACGAUGAGUGCUAAGUGUUAGGGGGGUUUCCGCCCCCCUUAGUGCUGCAGCUAACGCAUUAAGCACUCCGCCUGGGAGUACGGCCGCAAGGCUG